CCUACGGGAGGCAGCAGUGAGGAAUAUUGGUCAAUGGACGCGAGUCUGAACCAGCCAUGCCGCGUGCAGGAUGACGGCUCUAUGAGUUGUACACUGCUUUUGUACGGGGAUAAACCCCGGUACGUGUGUCGUGUUGCACGUAUCUUACGAAUCAGGAUCGGCUAACUCCGUGCCAGCAGCCGCGGUAAUACGGAGGAUCCGAGCGUUAUCCGGAUUUAUUGGGUUUAAAGGGUGCGUAGUCGGGUUGUUAAGUUAGAGGUGAAAUGUGGGGGCUCAACCGUGAAACUGCAUUUAAUACUGGCGGUCUAGAGAACAGUUGCGGUAGGCGGAAUGCAUGGUGUAGCGGUGAAAUGCUUAGAUAUCACACAGAACCCCGAUUGCGAAGGCAGCUUACUAAACUAUACCUGACGUUGAUGCACGAAAGCGUGGGUAGCAAACAGGAUUAGAUACCCGUGUAGUC
rnacentral:rRNA from 1 species